AUUGAACGCUGGCGGCAGGCCUAACACAUGCAAGUCGAACGGUAACAGGAAACAGCUUGCUGUUUCGCUGACGAGUGGCGGACGGGUGAGUAAUGUCUGGGAAACUGCCUGAUGGAGGGGGAUAACUACUGGAAACGGUAGCUAAUACCGCAUAACGUCGCAAGACCAAAGAGGGGGACCUUCGGGCCUCUUGCCAUCGGAUGUGCCCAGAUGGGAUUAGCUAGUAGGUGGGGUAACGGCUCACCUAGGCGACGAUCCCUAGCUGGUCUGAGAGGAUGACCAGCCACACUGGAACUGAGACACGGUCCAGACUCCUAGGAGAGGCAGCAGUGGGGAAUAUUGCACAAUGGGCGCAAGCCUGAUGCAGCCAUGCCGCGUGUAUGAAGAAGGCCUUCGGGUUGUAAAGUACUUUCAGCGGGGAGGAAGGGAGUAAAGUUAAUACCUUUACUCAUUGACGUUACCCGCAGAAGAAGCACCGGCUAACUCCGUG
rnacentral:rRNA from 1 species